rnacentral:tRNA from 2 species
CGGAAUGUGGCGCAGCUUGGUAGCGCACCUGCUUUGGGAGCAGGGGGUCGGAGGUUCAAAUCCUCUCAUUCCGACCA